ensembl:lncRNA
CAGCAGAUUUUAUAUGGAAUAUCUACAUAGGCGUACAGAGGCCCAUUAUCAGAAACCAUCAAUCCUACACUCUAAUGUACUUGUCCUCUUGCUCAGUUGUGCAACAGGGCCUCCCACUCCUCUUUCUAUUCUGGUUAGGGCCAGUUUGCACUGUUCUGUGAAGGGAGUAGUACACUGUGUUGUAUGAGAUCUUCAGUUUCUUGCAUGGAAUAUCCUUAAUUACUCAGAACAAGAAUAGAUUGAUGAAUUUCGGAAGAAAGUUAUUUUUUUCUGUCCAUUUUGAGCCUGUAAUCAAACCCACAAAUGCUGAUACUAAACUAGCCCAAAGAAGGCCAGUUCUUAAAUUCUUUUUUACCUUUAUUUAACUAGGCAAGUCAGUUAAGAACAAAUUCUUAUUUUCAAUGGCAGCCUAGGAACAGUGGGUUAACUGCCUGUUCAGGGGCAGAACAACAGAUUUGUACCUUGUCAGCUCAGGGGUUUGAACUUGCAACCUUCCGGUUACUAGUCCAACGCUCUAACCACUGUGCUACCCUGCUCAACAGUUUUCAGCUGUGCUAACAUAAUAGCAAAGGGGUUUUCUAAUGAUCAAUUAGCCUUUUAAAAUGAUAAACCUGGAUUAGCUAACACAAGUGCCAUUGGAACACAGGAGUGAUGGUUGCUGAUAAUGGGCCUCUGUACACCUGUGUAGAUAUUCCAUAAAAAAUCAGCUGUUUCCAGCUACAAUAGUCAUUUACAACAUUAACAAUAUCUACACUAUAUUUCUGAUCAAUUUUAUGUUAUUGUACAAAUGUUAUGUUAUUGUACAAAACAUUAAGAACACCUUCCUAAUAGAACAGCCUCAAUAUGUCGGGGCAUGGACUCAACAAGGUGUCGAAAGCGUUCCACUGGGAUGCUGGCCUAUGUUGACUCCAAUGCUUCCCACAUUUGUGUGAAGUUGGCUGGAUGUCCUUUGGCAGGGGGACAAUUUGUGAUACACACGGGAAACUAUUGAGUGAAAAACCCAGCAGCGUUGCAGUUCUUGGCACAUGGUCAGUCUCUGUCAUGGAAAGAGCAGGUGUUCUUCAUGUUUUGUACACCCGUUUUACAGUUGCAUGGCGGGAAUGUCGACUGGAGGAAGGAAGGCAGGCAUUGGGCAAGUUCAAAAGACUACUUGUAAUUUCAUCUGAUAUUUCAAAUAUUCUUGAUACGUAUGACGCAUGACGGUUCAUAGUGAGUGGUUGUUUAUUUAUGGCUUGUUGAGAUCAACAUAUCCGUCCAUUUUUUUGUCUGUUCUUUCCCCCUUUUAUCAGAAUAAACGAAACCUAGCCC